rnacentral:rRNA from 1 species
AUUGAACGCUGGCGGCAGGCCUAACACAUGCAAGUCGAGCGGAGCGGCGGACGGGUGAGUAAUGCCUAGGAAUCUGCCUGGUAGUGGGGGAUAACGUCCGGAAACGGGCGCUAAUCCCGCAUACUAUCAGAUGAGCCUAGGUCGGAUUAGCUAGUUGGUGGGGUAAAGGCCUACCAAGGCGACGAUCCGUAACUGGUCUGAGAGGAUGAUCAGUCAAACUGGAACUUAGACCCGGUCAAUACUCCUACGGGAGGCAGCAGUGGGUAAUAUUGGACAAUGGGCGGAAGCCGUGUCCAGCCAUGCCGCGUGUGUGAAGAAGUUCUUCCGAUUGUAAAGCACUUUAAGUUGGGAGGCGUUACCAACAGAAUAAGCACCGGCUAACUUCGUGCCAGCAGCCGCGGUAAUUC